CGGGAUGUAGCGCAGCCUGGUAGCGUACUAGCAUGGGGUGCUAGGGGUCGCUGGUUCGAAUCCAGUCAUCCCGAC
rnacentral:tRNA from 2 species